UUGGCACCUCGAUGUCGGCUCAUCGCAUCCUGGGGCUGAAGGCGGUCCCAAGGGUUGGUCUGUUCGCCCAUUAAAGCGGUACGUGAGCUGGGUUUAGACCGUCGUGAGACAGGUCGGUCCCUAUCUGUUGCAGGUGUAGGAGGAUUGAGGAGAGUCUUUCCUAGUACGAGAGGAUUGGAAAGAACGGACCUCUGGUGUUCCUGUUGUUACGCUAGUGGCAUAGCAGGGUAGCUAAGUUCGGACCGGAUAACCGCUGAAAGCAUCUAAGCGGGAAGCCAACUCCAAGACGGAUCCUCCCCCGAGACUCCUGGAAGACGACCAGGUGAUAGGCCGGCGGUGUAAGCGAGGCGACUCGUUCAGCUUACCGGUACUAAUUGUCGAUCGGCUUGACC
rnacentral:rRNA from 1 species